rnacentral:rRNA from 1 species
UGAAUGGCCGCGGUACCCUGACCGUGCUAAGGUAGCGUAAUCAGUUGGCUUUUAAAUGGAGUCAGGAAUGAAUGGGAAAACUGGGAUUAGCUGUCUCCUAAUUAUUAAAUUGAAUUUACUUUUUAAGUGAAAAAGCUUAAAUUUUGAAAAGGGACGAGAAGACCCUUAGAAUUUUUCUUAAAGAAUUUGGUUUCUAUAGUUUUAUUGGGGCGAUAAAGAAAUAUUAAAAACUUUCUAUAAAUUACAAGCCGAGUAUUUUAAGGAUGAAUAAAUUACCUGAGGGAUAACAGCAUAAUUCUACAGUUGAGUUUGUGACCUCGAUGUUGGACUAGGAAACUAGCAGGCUAGCCGUCUGUUGUGUGGGUUCUGUUCGAACUUUAAUUCCU